rnacentral:sRNA from 1 species
UACAGCAGUUCGUUGACUGCGUACAAGCGGGCG